UACGUAGGGGGCAAGCGUUGUCCGGAUUUAUUGGGCGUAAAGAGCGUGUAGGCGGCCAUGCAGGUCCGUUGUGAAAACUCGAGGCUCAACCUCGAGCUGUCGAUGGAAACCGUGUGGCUAGAGUCCGGAAGAGGAGAGUGGAAUUCCUGGUGUAGCGGUGAAAUGCGCAGAUAUCAGGAAGAACACCCGUGGCGAAGGCGGCUCUCUGGGACGGUACUGACGCUGAGACGCGAAAGCGUGGGGAGCAAACAGGAUUAGAAACCCCUGUAGU
rnacentral:rRNA from 1 species